UACAGAGGAUGCAAACGUUAUCCGGAAUCAUUGGGCGUAAAGCGUACCGAUAGGUGGUUUUACAAGUCAGAGGUGAAAUCCCAAGGCUCAACUUUGGGACUGUCCUUUGAAACUGUACAACUAGAGGGGCAAAGAGGAAGCUGGAACGAACGGUGUAGUAGUGAAAUGCGUUGAUAUCGUUCGGAACACCAAUAGCGUAGGCAGGCUUCUGGGUGCCACCUGACACUGCUAGGACGAAAGCGUGGGGAGCGAAUGGG
rnacentral:rRNA from 1 species